rnacentral:misc_RNA from 1 species
AACUUUCAGCAACGGAUCACUUGGCUCUCGCAUCGAUGAAGAACGCAGCGAAAUGCGAUAAGUAAUGUGAAUUGCAGAUUUUCAGUGAACCAUCGAAUCUUUGAACGCACCUUGCGCCCCUUGGUAUUCCGAGGGGCAUGCCUGUUUGAGUGUCAUCAAAUCCUCAACCCCCUCCGAUUUGUUUCGGUGGGGAUUGGACUUGGAGCGUGCUGGCGAAGGUCGGCUCCUCUUUAAAUGCAUCAGCGGAGAAAAUGCCUUUUGCGCCUCUGGCCGUUCAGCGUGAUAAUGACGUUGCGCUGCGGUCGAGCUCAAGGUCCGCUUCCAAAGGUCCUCGGACGAACGUAAACAUGACUUUUGACCUCAAAUCAGGUAGGACUACCCGCUGAACUUAAGCAUAUCAAUAAGCGGAGGCU